CCUUGCCCGACAAGGUGAAACCUUACCCGACCCUCUUUGUUCUGUCUUUUCAUUCAUAAAUCUAGUAAUAUGAUGUAUACUUCCAUCUGUAUCCAAGUUAUUUCUAGCAAGUUUAUGAUUAAAAGGUGUCUUAGUUCUUGAAUCUGGUCGGUUUAAUGGUGCCCAACCAUGUAAAAGUAAAGUUGGAAUCCGCACUCAUAGCUAGACCGGAUCUAAGUUCUAA
rnacentral:lncRNA from 1 species